rnacentral:rRNA from 1 species
UACGGGGGGAGCAAGCGUUGUUCGGAUUUACUGGGCGUAAAGGGCGCGUAGGCGGUCGUGACAAGUCACUUGUGAAAUCUCCGGGCUUAACUCGGAACGGUCAAGUGAUACUGUCGGACUAGAGUACAGAAGGGGCAACUGGAAUUCUCGGUGUAACGGUGAAAUGCGUAGAUAUCUGGAGGAACACCGGUGGCGAAGGCGGCAUCCUGGACCGGUAUUGACGCUGAGGCGCGAAAGCCAGGGGAGCAAACGGGG